UACGAAGGGGGCUAGCGUUGUUCGGAUUUACUGGGCGUAAAGCGCACGUAGGCGGAUUGUUAAGUCAGGGGUGAAAUCCUGGAGCUCAACUCCAGAACUGCCUUUGAUACUGGCAAUCUCGAGUCCGGAAGAGGUAAGUGGAACUCCUAGUGUAGAGGUGGAAUUCGUAGAUAUUAGGAAGAACACCAGUGGCGAAGGCGGCUUACUGGUCCGGAACUGACGCUGAGGUGCGAAAGCAUGGGGAGCAAACAGG
rnacentral:rRNA from 1 species